rnacentral:lncRNA from 1 species
GGGCUUGGUGCCCUGAUUUUAAGGCUGAUUCAUAAACAAAGGGUAAAUAAAACAAAAUUAAAAUACCACUAGGUCAAUAAAUCAGCGGUUGAGGGGAAGAGGAGAAAUGGGAGUGCCAACGCAUUUAUUGUAAUAAGGAAGCGUGAACAUGAAGGGACAUCGUAUGAUAUCCUAUGGUUAUUUCUUUUGCAAAAAUCCUAUGCACUAUUUCGAAUGAAAGGAGGAUUUGAAUCAAAUGAACUACUUAUUUGCUGAUAUCACUAUUUCAAAGUCAUCAGAGCAAUUGCUAAAGAGAAAAAUUAUAAAUAUGUUCAGCGACUGAUGCCUGUAAUCCCAGCACUUUGGGAGGCCAAGGUUGGAGGAUCACUUGACUGCAGGAAUUUGAGACCAGCCUGAGCAACAGCACGAAACUCUGUCUUUAUUAUUUUUUGAAAAGUAUAUUUAAAAUUUUUUUAAAUCAUUGUUUCCUUGUUCCCACCUUACAAAAAUAAACUGCUCUGUCAUGCCCAGCAGAGUGCCUUUUCUAAAUUGUUAAAUGAGA